rnacentral:lncRNA from 1 species
AGAUUCAGGUUCUUUAUUAAUUAGUGUUUUCCAUUACAAAUCAUAUGAUAAUAUAGAAAACAACAUUUCAAGGUUUCACAUGUAGUAUAUAAUAAUACAAUUGAACACAUAAUUUUAAGUGUUGUUUCUUAAUAUAAUAUUUUGUGGAUUUAAAAGGUUAGAAACUGAAAGAUAAUUAUUAUGCGAAUCUUUAAACCAUAAGAUUAGAAAAAAGUUGGCCUUAUCUUUAUAUUUAUAUAUCAAUGUUCUUCUGUCUCUACUUCAGUGCAGAGUUUGCAAAAACAUUCUUCUCUUGGAAUUUUGGGUUUGUUAUAUCUACCCCGCUCUAUAUUUAAACAAUUAGCCCUUAUACGUAGUUGGUUAAUUUUCCUUUUUAUAGUUUUGGUAGUUUCAAGAUAGGAAGGUAACAAAAUUUACAACAAAAAUAUUACUGAAAAGCAUCAAUUUAUUGUCCACAUCUCUAGAUAUGAUUUUUGUAGGUGUGAGUCAGAGUGUUGAUUAUGAUAUCUUAUUAGACUAUUCUUAAAACACUAUUAUCUAUCAAAUG